rnacentral:rRNA from 1 species
UAAGGAAUAUUGGUCAAUGGGCGCAAGUCUGAACCAGCCAUGCCGCGUGAAGGAUGAAGGUCCUCUGGAUUGUAAACUUCUUUUAUCUGGGACGAAAACGGGAUUUUUAUCUCAAUUGACGGUACCAGAGGAAUAGGCACCGGCUAACUCCGUGCCAGCAGCCGCGGUAAUACGGAGGGUGCGAGCGUUAUCCGGAUUUACUGGGUUUAAAGGGUGCGUAGGUGGGCUUAUAAGUCAGUGGUGAAAUCUCCGAGCUUAACUUGGGAACUGCCGUUGAUACUAUAGGUCUUGAAUUAUCUGGAGGUAAGCGGAAUAUGUCAUGUAGCGGUGAAAUGCUUAGAUAUGACAUAGAACACCAAUUGCGAAGGCAGCUUGCUACACAAUCAUUGACGCUGAGGCACGAAAGCGUGGGGAUCAAACA